rnacentral:piRNA from 1 species
UACUGUUGUCUGUACAUUCAUCUGUCCCUA